rnacentral:rRNA from 1 species
AUACGUAGGUGACAAGCGUUAUCCGGAUUUACUGGGCGUAAAGGGCGUGUAGGCGGUCUUGCAAGUCAGAAGUGAAAUUCCUGAGCUCAACUCGGGCGCUGCUUCUGAAACUGCAGGACUUGAGUGCUGGAGGGGAUAGCGGAAUUCCUAGUGGAGCGGUAAAAUGCGCAGAUAUUAGGAAGAACACCGGUGGCGAAGGCGGCUAUCUGGACAGUAACGGACGCUGAGGCGCGAAAGCGUGGGGAGCAAACAGGAUUAGAUACCCUGGUAGCCCACGCCGUAAACGAUGAAUACUAGGUGUAGGGGGUAUCGACUCCCUCUGUGCCGCAGUUAACACAAUAAGUAUUCCGCCUGGGGAGUACGGCCGCAAGGUUGAAACUCAAAUGAAUUGACGGGG